rnacentral:lncRNA from 1 species
UUAAAGUUUCAUCAAACUUGAAGAUUAGAUCCUGUUGAAAAAUAAAAUAGGCUGUCCAAUGGACCAAAUACCGGUUGUAAAAACAAAACACAAAAAAUAAUGAUAUAAAAAAUUAACUUCGAUUGCAAUAUACAAAUAGUAAGAAACCUCAAACCUGAAAAGAUCAAAUAAUCAAAGGAAAGAAAUAACCAAGAAACCUGUAAAAUGGGAAAAAAUAAUAAAUUAAAGAAAAGAGUUAGAGUGAAACAACAUGAAAAAAAAACUAUUCAAACAAUAAACUAAAAAGAAACCUCAA